GCUCAAUCCCCAUAGUGGGGCAUGCAGGAGGCAGUGGUCAAUGAUUCUCUCUCAUUGUUGAUGUUUCUCUUUCCUUCUCCCUUCCUCUAUGAAGUCAAUAAAACUGUAUUUUUAAAAAAAUGUUUGUCUCAGUUCCACAAAAUCACAUUUAAGGAUCUUUUAUAUUUUCUACUUUUAUCAGUAGGACAUCUAGCAAAAACAAGUUAAGACAAAUGGAUAAUUCUGCAUCCACAGUAUUUAAUAAUAAAUGCAUAAGAAAACAUCUCGUAAUUUAAUUUCCCAUCCCACUGGGAGGUUUUUUUUUUAUGACUA